GACGAACGCUGGCGGCGUGCUUAACACAUGCAAGUCGAACGGAAAGGCCCUGCUGUUUUGGGGUGCUCGAGUGGCGAACGGGUGAGUAACACGUGAGUAACCUGCCCUUGACUUUGGGAUAACUUCAGGAAACUGGGGCUAAUACCGGAUAGGAGCUCCUGCUGCAUGGUGGGGGUUGGAAAGUUUCGGCGGUUGGGGAUGGACUCGCGGCUUAUCAUCUUGUUGGUGGGGUAGUGGCUUACCAAGGCUUUGCCGGGUAGCCGACCUGUGAGGGGGGCCGGCCACAUGGGGACUGAGAUACGGACCAGACUCCUACGGGAGGCAGCAGUGGGGAAUAUGGCACAAUGGGCGGAAGCCUGAGGCAGCAACGCCGCGUGCGGGAUGACGGCCUUCGGGUUGUAAACCGCUUACGCCUGUGACGAAGCGUGAGUGACGGUAAUGGGUAAAGAAGCACCGGCUAACUACGUG
rnacentral:rRNA from 1 species